rnacentral:rRNA from 1 species
AGGGCAAGUCUGGUGCCAGCAGCCGCGGUAAUUCCAGCUCCAAUAGCGUAUAUUAAAGUUGUUGCAGUUAAAAAGCUCGUAGUUGAAUUUCGGGGUUCUACCGUUGGUCGGGCUAUUGUCUGUACUGGCGUGUAGAAUUUCUACCUUCUGGAGAACUAUCAUGUUAGUAAUUUAGCGUGGUAGGAAACCAGGACCUUUACCUUGAAAAAAUUAGAGUGUUCAAAGCAGGCUUAUGUCUGGAUACAUUAGCAUGGAAUAAUAAAAUAGGACGGUGGUCCUGUUUUGUUGGUUUCUGAAUCACCGUAAUGAUUAAUAGGGAUAGUUGGGGGCAUUAGUAUUCAAUUGUCAGAGGUGAAAUUCUUGGAUUUAUUGAAGACUAACUACUGCGAAAGCAUUUGCCAAGGAUGUUUUCAUUAAUCAAGAACGAAAGUUAGGGGAUCGAAGACGAUCAGAUACCGUCGUAGUCUUAACCAUAAACUAUGCCGACUAGGGAUCGGAUGAUGUUAAUUUUUUAAUGACUCAUUCGGCGCCUUACGGGAA